UAAAUUCGAUUUCUUAUUCAUAG
ensembl:ncRNA